rnacentral:tRNA from 2 species
GCCCGCGUGGUGGAAUCGGUAGACACAACAGACUUAAAAUCUGUCGCUCUUAGAGCGUGCCAGUUCGAGUCUGGCCGCGGGCACCA